GCGGCGGAGGCUUAGUGGUUUGGCGUAGGAUUGCAACCGCAUAGCAGCAUCUGCAUCUACGAUCCUGAGGUCCCGAGUUCGAUCCUCGGUCGCCGCU
rnacentral:tRNA from 2 species